rnacentral:rRNA from 1 species
UUUUUCCCCGGGAAACUACAUACAUAGCGGAGGAAAGAACCAACAGGGAUUGCCUUAGUAACGGCGAGUGAAGCGGCAACAGCUCAAAUUGAAAGCUGGCUCCUUUGGAGUCCGCGUUGUAAUUUGUAGAGGAUGAUUCGGCAAGGGCUCCCGCCUAAGUCUCCUGGAACGGAGCGUCAUAGAGGGUGAGAAUCCCGUAUGCGGUGGGCUGCCUAAGCCAUGUGAAUCUCCUUCGACGAGUCGAGUUGUUUGGGAAUGCAGCUCUAAAUGGGAGGUAAAUUUCUUCUAAAGCUAAAUACCGGCCAGAGACCGAUAGCGCACAAGUAGAGUGAUCGAAAGAUGAAAAGCACUUUGGAAAGAGAGUUAAAAAGUACGUGAAAUUGUUGAAAGGGAAGCGCUUGCAGCCAGACUUGUCCGCAGUUGCUCAGCCGGUCUCCUGACCGGUGUACUCUUCUGCGGCCAGGCCAGCAUCAGUUCGGGCGGUCGGAUAAAGACCUCGGGAAUGUAGCUCCUCUCGGGGAGUGUUAUAGCCCGGGGUGGAAUGCGGCCAGCCUGGACUGAGGAUCUCGCUUCGGCUAGGAUGCUGGCGUAAUGGCUGUAAGCGGCCCGUCUUGAAACACGGACCAAGGAGUCUAACAUCUAUGCGAGUGUUUGGGUGUCAAACCCAUGCGCGUAAUGAAAGUGAACGGAGGUGGGAACCCUCACGGGUGCACCAUCGACCGAUCCUGAUGUCUUCGGAUGGAUUUGAGUAAGAGCAUAGCUGUUGGGACCCGAAAGAUGGUGAACUAUGCCUGAAUAGGGUGAAGCCAGAGGAAACUCUGGUGGAGGCUCGCAGCGGUUCUGACGUGCAAAUCGAUCGUCAAAUUUGGGUAUAGGGGCGAAAGACUAAUCGAACCAUCUGAGCCC